rnacentral:rRNA from 1 species
UACGUAGGUGACAAGCGUUGUCCGGAUUUACUGGGCGUAAAGAGCGCGCAGGCGGUCGUUCAAGUCGAGUGUGAAAGCCCACGGCUCAACCGUGGAGGGUCAUUGGAAACUGGGGGACUUGAGUACAGAAGAGGAAAGCGGAAUUCCAAGUGUAGCGGUGAAAUGCGUAGAGAUUUGGAGGAACACCAGUGGCGAAGGCGGCUUUCUGGUCUGUAACUGACGCUGAGGCGCGAAAGCGUGGGGAGCAAACAGG